rnacentral:tRNA from 1 species
GAUCUGAUAGCUCAGUCGAGAACAGUUGCUCGGAAAGCGAAAGACUCGGGUUCGAUUCCCGAUCCAACCA